rnacentral:rRNA from 1 species
GACGAACGCUGGCGGCGUGCUUAACACAUGCAAGUCGAACGGAAAGGCCCUGCUUUUGUGGGGUGCUCGAGUGGCGAACGGGUGAGUAACACGUGAGUAACCUGCCCUUGACUUUGGGAUAACUUCAGGAAACUGGGGCUAAUACCGGAUAGGAGCUCCUGCUGCAUGGUGGGGGUUGGAAAGUUUCGGCGGUUGGGGAUGGACUCGCGGCUUAUCAGCUUGUUGGUGGGGUAGUGGCUUACCAAGGCUUUGACGGGUAGCCGGCCUGAGAGGGUGACCGGCCACAGUGGGACUGAGAGACGGCCCAGACGCCUACGGGAGGCAGCAGGGGGGAAGAUUGCACAAUGGGCGGAAGCCUGAGGCAGCAACGCCGCGUGCGGGAUGACGGCCUUCGGGUUGUAAACCGCUGUCGCCUGUGACGAAGCGUGAGUGACGGUAAUGGGUAAAGAAGCACCGGCUAACUACGUG